rnacentral:rRNA from 1 species
CGGGUUUGGCGUUGAAGACAGGUAAGCAGACCUGCAGUAUGUGCCUUUGGGGUGCACAGUCCUCCUUUUUAUAGGUGUGGGCUCGGAACACACCACCGACCGUGACCGUUCGUAUCGUCCGUCGAUCCGAUAGAGGGCGGAGGGUGCGAACCAAGGUCGGUGGCCUCGACGGGACGAGCCUGCGUCGUGGGCUACCGCCGGUGCCGCCGGCGUCGGCGCCACGCGGGCAGCGGUGGCGCGCUCCCGUCGCGGCGGACGACGAGCGAACGCGGCCGCUGGUCUCGCGCCGGGUGUGCGAACGGCAGGAGACAUUAAGGGCACGUCUCUACCGCGACGUGGCAGUGGGUAGGGGCCUCGGCGGCCGAGGUGCCCGGCGCGACGUCGGUCAGACUUCACCGCUCGUCGUGGCACCUGCUGCUGCUCCGCACGCUCGACCACUCCCCGUGUCUGCAGCAGUAGCCCGUCCCGCUGCUGCUCUCGCAGGCGCGGAUGGAGGAGCUCCGGCAGUUCUUGUUGUUGCCGUGGACGCAGGAGAAGGAGAGGCUGCAGAAGCCGAAGCUCCUGAGGCGGUGGGCCCUGAAGCGGAUGGCGUAGCGGACGGUGCCGAUGUUGCAAGACCACGGCCUGGACAAGGCGCCCUUGGGCACCUUCUUCUCGGACGGCUACCUCCCCAACGUCCUCACCGAGCGGCUCGUCCGGGGCCUCUCCCACCGGCCGCUGUAGCUGUGCACGUCCUUUACCGAACAACUGCUGAAGAACCGCCGCCUUGGCAGGUUCUUCGACCCGCACCAGCCCAAGACGAUGCCCCCGCCGGCGGAGCACCUCUGCGACCGCGCGCUGCGGCCGCGGACGAAGUCUCGCCCGCAGACGAAGAUACCCAGGGCCUACCUGCGCAGCGAGCCCCGUGUCUAGUGGCGCGGCCACGACAAGCACACGCCGCUGCCGCUGGGCGACACGGGGCACCUCUGCCACGCCCUCGACCUCUCCUCGCGCUCCCCGCGGUUCCGCCGGCACAUGCGGCCGUCCCCGGUGCCCAAGCGCGUGGCCGGCCUCAGCGACCUCCUGCUGCCGCUGCGGCUCCUGCGCAAGCGCUACUACUUCUCGACCAAGGUGCUGGUGGACGAACGAACUAGACUAGUCGACAGCCCACAGCACACAUGUAAGACAAACAACACAAACUAACGUUGCCCACUUCUGACUUCUCCAUUUCACGUAACAAUUGUGAGUUUAUGCCUAAGUGAAGAGCGGCGAUGACUCAAGUCCGGGUUUCGGAACUAUGUACAUCUCAGCUCUUAUCUCUCUCACACCUCUCCCUCCUUCCCCCUGACCCCACGGUGCUUCGGCAAACAGGACUUGCAAGAGACGGAGACAAAAAAAAAAAUCUUUUAGAGACAUAAACAACAUACAGACGGACACUAUCGUUAACCCGACUCGGGUAAUUGUCACGUUCGUGACCAGGUCACCUCAGGUCCCACUCCUCGUACUCUCGAUAUAGAGCGAAAACAAAACCGGUGAUUAUUCGCGGCCACGUGGG